GUAGCCAAAUGCCUCGUCAUUUAAUUAGUGACGCGCAUGAAUGGAUUAACGAGAUUCCCGCUGUCCCUAUCCGCUAUCUAGCGAAACCACUGCAAAGGGAACGGGCUUUGAAAAUGACCUCGGGGAAAGAAGACCCUACUGAGCUUGACUCUAGUUUGACUCUGUGAAGAGACAUGAGAGGUGUAGAAUAGGAGGGAGGUGGGUCGCCCCGUUUCGGCGGGGUCCCGCCGCCAGUGAAAUACCUCCACUCUCACUGUUUCUUUACUUACUCGGUUGAGCGAAGGACGGGCCUCACGGCCCUUACUUUGUGGCGUUAAUCGGGGCGCGGUUCCGGCCGCGCCCCGAGAUUCGCGCCGAGGACAGUGUCAGAUUGACAGUUUGACUGGGGCGGUACAUCUGUCAAAAGGUAACGCAGGUGUCCUAAGGCCGGCUCAGCGAGGACAGAAACCUCGCGUGGAGCAAAAGGGCAAAUGCCGCCUUGAUUUUGAUUCUCAGUAUGAAUACGAACCGCGAAAGCGGGGCCUAUCGAUCCUUUUGCCUUUACGAGUUUUAAGCAAGAGGUGUCAGAAAAGUUACCAUAGGGAUAACUGGCUUGUGGUGUGCCAAGCGUUCAUAGCGACGUCACUUUUUGAUCCUUUGAUGUCGGCUCUUCCUAUCAUUGUG
rnacentral:rRNA from 1 species